GUUUCCCUCUUGUUACCCAGGAUGGAGUGCAAUGGUGCAAUCUCAGCUCACUGCAGCCUCCGCCUCCUGGGUUAAAGCAAUUCUCCUGCCUCAGCCUCCCAAGUAGCUGGAAUUACAAGCACUCGCCACCAUGCCUGGCUAAUAUUUUGUAGUUUUAGUAGUGACGGGGUUUCACCAUGUUGGCCAGGCUGGCCUCAGGUGAUCCACCCACCUUGGCCUCCUAAAGCGCUGGGAUUAUAGGCUUGAGCCACCACGCCCAGCCUAAUGUGACUUUUAAAUUAUGGGUAAGAACUUACCAAGCCAAGAGCAGGGCAGUCCAGGCACAUGGACCAGCUGAAAACUUGCAUCACUUACAUGAAGAAUUUGUGAGCACACUGGUUUUGUGUGAAGAGAAGCGGUGCUGCAGACAGAGGCAAGGGCUAUCCCCAGAGGACCCUGGCUGCUUGGUUAGUAAGCUUGAAUUUUUCCCCAUAGGUAAUCCUAUAAGCAGAGAAAGGUUUUAUACUGAAAUUGAUGUAAUCAGAUUGCAUUUGAGAUCCGUCUCCGGCAGCUGUGUUGAGGAGGAUGGCUCUGAGGACACAGAACUGGAAACAGACACACCAUUUAGGAAGCUGCUGCAAUUGUCCAGAGAAAAGCUAAUGAUGGCUUGAACUGGGGCAAUGGUGGUUGGAUUGAGGGGAAGAGAUAUAAGGGAGCAGUGAUGAGGGGGUAAAAAGGAUCUCAUUUGAUGUGUGUGGAGAAGUGGGAAUAAGGGAAGGACCAAGGAUGGUGUUUAGGUCUUUAGCUUGACCCAAAUGGAUCUUUUGUUAACAGCUUGACUUUUGACAACAAAUGAAAAGGCAUGUGUAGGAGUAAAAGCUGGGUUAGUAGGCAAGUGAGUUUGGUUGGAACAAAAUGAAUGCAAAGGCUUGUGGGAAACCCAGGUGGGGAAGGUAGGUGUACAGAUUUGAGAAUAUUAUUAACAUGAAAGUAAAAAACAAUUAAGUGGAUCAGCAUAUACAAGGAAAAGCCUGUUAAGUAAAAAAUUCGAGUUCAUUUUUGGAAGAGCCAAAUUAUUGCUAAGAUACACAGUUAAGAAGUGCCAAAGGCAGAAAGGAUAGCUGACUCUCAGCCUGGAUCUCCCUGGGUGUGAUGGACCUUGGUAGGGUCACUCCAGACUAAGGUUCAGCUUAGCUCUUGAGACUUGGAAACUCAAUUCUGUCAGUUCUCUCAG
rnacentral:lncRNA from 1 species